rnacentral:rRNA from 1 species
AUUGAACGCUGGCGGCAUGCCUUACACAUGCAAGUCGAACGGCAGCACGGGAGCAAUCCUGGUGGCGAGUGGCGAACGGGUGAGUAAUAUAUCGGAACGUGCCCGGUCGUGGGGGAUAACGUAGCGAAAGCUACGCUAAUACCGCAUACGAUCUACGGAUGAAAGCGGGGGAUCGCAAGACCUCGCGCGAUUGGAGCGGCCGAUAUCAGAUUAGGUAGUUGGUGAGGUAAAGGCUCACCAAGCCGACGAUCUGUAGCUGGUCUGAGAGGACGACCAGCCACACUGGAACUGAGACACGGUCCAGACUCCUACGGGAGGCAGCAGUGGGGAAUUUUGGGACAAUGGACGCAAGUCUGAUCCAGCCAUUCCGCGUGCAGGAUGAAGGCCCUCGGGUUGUAAACUGCUUUUGUACGGAACGAAAAGGUUUCUCUUAAUACGAGGAGCUCAUGACGGUACCGUAAGAAUAAGCACCGGCUAACUACGUGCCAGCA